UCCGUAGGUGAACCUGCGGAAGGGAUAUUACCGAGUGCAGGUCUGCCCCCGGGCAGGCCUAACCUCCCACCCGUGAAUACCUGACCAACGUUGCUUCGGCGGUGCGCCCCCCCCCCCGGGGGUAGCCGCCGGAGACCACACCGAACCUCCUGUCUUUAGUGUUGUCUGAGCUUGAUAGCAAACCUAUUAAAACUUUCAACAAUGGAUCUCUUGGUUCCGGCAUCGAUGAAGAACGCAGCGAACUGCGAUAAGUAAUGUGAAUUGCAGAAUUCAGUGAAUCAUCGAGUCUUUGAACGCACAUUGCGCCCCCUGGCAUUCCGGGGGGCAUGCCUGUCCGAGCGUCAUUGCUGCCCUUCAAGCCCGGCUUGUGUGUUGGGUCGUCGUCCCCCCCGGGGGACGGGCCCGAAAGGCAGCGGCGGCACCGCGUCCGGUCCUCGAGCGUAUGGGGCUUUGUCACCCGCUCGAUUAGGGCCGGCCGGGCGCCAGCCGGCGUCUCCAACCUUCUAUUUUACCAGGUUGACCUCGGAUCAGGUAGGGAUACCCGCUGAACUUAAGCAUAUCAAUAAGCGGAGGA
rnacentral:rRNA from 1 species